AGACCCGAAACCCGGUGAUCUAGCCAUGGGCAGGUUGAAGGUUGGGUAACACUAACUGGAGGACCGAACCGACUAAUGUUGAAAAAUUAGCGGAUGACCUGUGGCUGGGGGUGAAAGGCCAAUCAAACCGGGAGAUAGCUGGUUCUCCCCGAAAGCUAUUUAGGUAGCGCCUCGUGAAUUCAUCUCCGGGGGUAGAGCACUGUUUCGGCUAGGGGGCCAUCCCGGCUUACCAACCCGAUGCAAACUGCGAAUACCGGAGAAUGUUAUCACGGGAGACACACGGCGGGUGCUAACGUCCGUCGUGAAGAGGGAAACAACCCAGACCGCCAGCUAAGGUCCCAAAGUCAUGGUUAAGUGGGAAACGAUGUGGGAAGGCCCAGACAGCCAGGAUGUUGGCUUAGAAGCAGCCAUCAUUUAAAGAAAGCGUAAUAGCUCACUGGUCGAGUCGGCCUGCGCGGAAGAUGUAACGGGGCUAAACCAUGCACCGAAGCUGCGGCAGCGAACGUAUCACCCAAGACAACUUUACGGAGUUGACGAUUGACGGAGCGAAGCGACGUCAAAGCGUUCAUUAAAGUCGAGUUGGCUUAGGGAUACGUUCGUUGGGUAGGGGAGCGUUCUGUAAGCCUGUGAAGGUGUGUCGUGAGGCAUGCUGGAGGUAUCAGAAGUGCGAAUGCUGACAUAAGUAACGAUAAAGCGGGUGAAAAGCCCGCUCGCCGGAAGACCAAGGGUUCCUGUCCAACGUUAAUCGGGGCAGGGUGAGUCGACCCCUAAGGCGAGGCCGAAAGGCGUAGUCGAUGGGAAACGGGUUAAUAUUCCCGUACUUGGUGUUACUGCGAAGGGGGGACGGAGAAGGCUAUGUUGGCCGGGCGACGGUUGUCCCGGUUUAAGCGUGUAGGUGUGUGUUCCAGGUAAAUCCGGUUCACUUUAACACUGAGGCGUGACGACGAGGCACUACGGUGCUGAAGCAACAAAUGCCCUGCUUCCAGGAAAAGCCUCUAAGCAUCAGGUAACACGAAAUCGUACCCCAAACCGACACAGGUGGUCAGGUAGAGAAUACCAAGGCGCUUGAGAGAACUCGGGUGAAGGAACUAGGCAAAAUGGUGCCGUAACUUCGGGAGAAGGCACGCUGACACGUAGGUGAAGUGAUUUACUCAUGGAGCUGAAGUCAGUCGAAGAUACCAGCUGGCUGCAACUGUUUAUUAAAAACACAGCACUGUGCAAACACGAAAGUGGACGUAUACGGUGUGACGCCUGCCCGGUGCCGGAAGGUUAAUUGAU
rnacentral:rRNA from 5 species